AGGGACUGGAGAGGUGGCUCAGU
rnacentral:piRNA from 1 species